UACGAAGGGGGGCUAGCGUUGCUCGGAAUCACUGGGCGUAAAGCGCACGUAGGCGGAUUUCUAAGUCAGGGGUGAAAUCCUGGAGCUCAACUCCAGAACUGCCUUUGAUACUGGGAAUCUCGAGUCCGGGAGAGGUGAGUGGAACUGCGAGUGUAGAGGUGAAAUUCGUAGAUAUUCGCAAGAACACCAGUGGCGAAGGCGGACUCACUGGCCCGGUACUGACGCUGAGGUGCGAAAGCGUGGG
rnacentral:rRNA from 1 species